rnacentral:rRNA from 1 species
GAUGAACGCUGGCGGCGUGCCUAAUACAUGCAAGUCGAGCGAACAGAUGAGAAGCUUGCUUCUCUGAUGUUAGCGGCGGACGGGUGAGUAACACGUGGGUAACCUACCUAUAAGACUGGGAUAACUCCGGGAAACCGGGGCUAAUACCGGAUAAUAUUUUGAACCGCAUGGUUCAAUAGUGAAAGACGGUUUCGGCUGUCACUUAUAGAUGGACCCGCGCCGUAUUAGCUAGUUGGGAAGGUAACGGCUUACCAAGGCGACGAUACGUAGCCGACCUGAGAGGGUGAUCGGCCACACUGGAACUGAGACACGGUCCAGACUCCUACGGGAGGCAGCAGUAGGGAAUCUUCCGCAAUGGGCGAAAGCCUGACGGGGCAACGCCGCGUGAGUGAUGAAGGUCUUCGGAUCGUAAAACUCUGUUGUUAGGGAAGAACAAAUUUGUUAGUAACUGAACAAGUCUUGACGGUACCUAACCAGAAAGCCACGGCUAACUACGUGCCAGCCGCCGCAGUAA